rnacentral:rRNA from 1 species
AUUGAACGCUGGCGGCAUGCCUUACACAUGCAAGUCGAACGGCAGCACGGGAGCAAUCCUGGUGGCGAGUGGCGAACGGGUGAGUAAUAUAUCGGAACGUGCCCAGUCGUGGGGGAUAACGAAGCGAAAGCUGUGCUAAUACCGCAUACGAUCUAUGGAUGAAAGCGGGGGACCGCAAGGCCUCGCGCGAUUGGAGCGGCCGAUAUCAGAUUAGCUAGUUGGUGGGGUAAAGGCCCACCAAGGCGAGGAUCUGUAGCUGGUCUGAGAGGACGACCAUCCACACUGGAACUGAGACACGGUCCAGACUCCUACGGGAGGCAGCAGUGGGGAAUUUUGGACAAUGGGCGCAAGCCUGAUCCAGCAAUGCCGCGUGCAGGAUGAAGGCCUUCGGGUUGUAAACUGCUUUUGUACGGAACGAAACGGUGAGCUUUAAUACGGUUUGCUAAUGACGGUACCGUAAGAAUAAGCACCGGCUAACUACGUGCCAGCCGCCGCCGUAA